rnacentral:rRNA from 1 species
CCUGCCGGAGGCCACUGCUAUCGNAGUUCGAUUAAGCCAUGCGAGUCGAGAGGUGCAAGACCUCGGCAUACUGCUCAGUAACACGUGGACAACCUACCCUAUGGAGGGGGAUAACCCCGGGAAACUGGGGAUAAUACCCCAUAGACUAUAGAUGCUGGAAUGCUUUGUAGUUGAAAGGUCCGCCGCCAUAGGAUGGGUCUGCGGCCGAUUAGGUUGUUGUUGGGGUAACGGCCCAACAAGCCUGUAAUCGGUACGGGUUGUGGGAGCAAGAGCCCGGAGAUGGAUUCUGAGACACGAAUCCAGGCCCUACGGGGCGCAGCAGGCGCGAAAACUUUACAAUGCGGGAAACCGUGAUAAGGGGACUCCGAGUGCCCGUAAAAUCGGGCUGUCCAUCUGUUUAAAUAACAGGUGAAGAAAGGGCCGGGCAAGACCGGUGCCAGCCGCCGCGGUAAUACCGGCGGCUCGAGUGGUGGCCACUAUUACUGGGCUUAAAGCGUUCGUAGCUGGUCUGUUAAGUCUCUGGGGAAAUCUACUGGCUUAACCAAUAGGCGUCUCAGGGAUACUGGCAGACUAGGGACCGGGAGAGGUGAGAGGUACUCCAGGGGUAGGAGUGAAAUCCUGUAAUCCUUGGGGGACCACCUGUGGCGAAGGCGUCUCACCAGAACGGCUCCGACAGUGAGGGACGAAAGCUGGGGGAGCAAACCGGAUUAGAUACCCGGGUAGUCCCAGCCGUAAACGAUGCGCGUUAGGUGUAUCGGUGACCACGAGUCACCGAGGUGCCGAAGAGAAAUCGUGAAACGUGCCGCCUGGGAAGUACGGUCGCAAGGCUGAAACUUAAAGGAAUUGGCGG